rnacentral:rRNA from 1 species
UCGAGAAUAUUCGGCAAUGGGCGAAAGCCUGACCGAGCGACGCCGCGUGCAGGAUGAAGGCCUUCGGGUUGUAAACUGCUUUUCUAUGGGAACAAAUUAUUGAGCGUACCAUAGGAAUAAGAGGUUACUAACUCUGUGCCAGCAGUAGCGGUAAUACAGAGACCUCAAGCGUUAUCCGGAUUUAUUGGGCGUAAAGCGCGGGUAGGUGGAUAUGUUAGUCAGAUGUCAAAUUUUUGGGCUCAACCCGAAAACUGCAUUUGAAACGGCAUAUCUAGAGAAAGUAAGAGAUCAGUGGAACUCAUGGUGUAGUAGUGAAAUGCGUUGAUAUCAUGAGGAACACCAAAGGCGAAGGCAUCUGAUUGGUACUUUUCUGACACUGAGCCGCGAAAGCGUGGGUAGC